UGCUUGACUCCUACUCUCCCCCUCUCCCUCCUCGCCUCACUCUUCUCUGCACCAAGCAGCUCGAUUUAGGGCUUCACCAUUUUUCUUUGAAUCAAGGUCUAUUUCUCUCCCUAUUUUCCCAAUCUAGGUUUCCUUCUCUCUGUGGAAAAACCCUAGAUCUCGCCACUGCCGCAGAGUCCAAGCUCGGCCUUUUCGAGCUUCAAUCUGCCUUGCCGAUCGUCUCCUCUCGGUGCCUCCACCUAAACCCCUUUGAAAUUUUGUGCCCAUUUUGGAUUCGCUUCGUACUUGGUUGAGACCCAUCUAAUCCGGCGUUUCCAGGUAAGUUUUGACAUUUCAAAAGAUGGCUUGAUAUUCAUUUCGGAACUUCACAGCCUUUCUUCUUAGUUAAAUGAAUUAACCAAGAUUGGUUUUUUCUUUAUUAUUUGGUCCAUUUCGUAAUUGUUGAGUGACUAAGUAUUACUUACCAAUUGCAAUAGAUCAUUGCACUUUCAAUUACUGGAGGUCUGAAUGCUGUUAUGAUGUGCAGAUAUCUCUAUAAUCAUCAUGUAAGAAUGCUUUUCAUGAAAUUAAUGCUUUUUAAGAAAGCUUUAAUUUCGGUAUAGAAAAAUGAAUAAAUUCCCUGAUGAAUUGUUUUUGCAAAAUGAAAAUGGGGAAUGGGCUCUCUGCAUAUUGAGGGCCAAGUACCAUGUUUGUAAACUGUUUUGGUUCUGUGUUGAACAUUAGGAUGUAUAUGAAUUUUGAUAUGGAUGAGAAUAUGUUUUAAUAUAUUUCACACAUUUAAC